UUUAUGGAGAGUUUGAUCCUGGCUCAGGAUAAACGCUGGCGGCGUGCCUAAUACAUGCAAGUCGAGCGAACGGACGAGAAGCUUGCUUCUCUGAUGUUAGCGGCGGACGGGUGAGUAACACGUGGAUAACCUACCUAUAAGACUGGGAUAACUUCGGGAAACCGGAGCUAAUACCGGAUAAUAUUUUGAACCGCAUGGUUCAAAAGUGAAAGACGGUCUUGCUGUCACUUAUAGAUGGAUCCGCGCUGCAUUAGCUAGUUGGUAAGG
rnacentral:rRNA from 1 species